rnacentral:rRNA from 2 species
CAGGUGGUCAGGUAGAGAAUACCAAGGCGCUUGAGAGAACUCGGGUGAAGGAACUAGGCAAAAUGGUGCCGUAACUUCGGGAGAAGGCACGCUGACACGUAGGUGAAGUGAUUUACUCAUGGAGCUGAAGUCAGUCGAAGAUACCAGCUGGCUGCAACUGUUUAUUAAAAACACAGCACUGUGCAAACACGAAAGUGGACGUAUACGGUGUGACGCCUGCCCGGUGCCGGAAGGUUAAUUGAUGGGGUCAGCGCAAGCGAAGCUCCUGAUCGAAGCCCCGGUAAACGGCGGCCGUAACUAUAACGGUCCUAAGGUAGCGAAAUUCCUUGUCGGGUAAGUUCCGACCUGCACGAAUGGCGUAAUGAUGGCCAGGCUGUCUCCACCCGAGACUCAGUGAAAUUGAACUCGCUGUGAAGAUGCAGUGUACCCGCGGCAAGACGGAAAGACCCCGUGAACCUUUACUAUAGCUUGACACUGAACAUUGAGCCUUGAUGUGUAGGAUAGGUGGGAGGCUUUGAAGCGUGGACGCCAGUCUGCGUGGAGCCGACCUUGAAAUACCACCCUUUAAUGUUUGAUGUUCUAACGUGGACCCGUGAUCCGGGUUGCGGACAGUGUCUGGUGGGUAGUUUGACUGGGGCGGUCUCCUCCUAAAGAGUAACGGAGGAGCACGAAGGUUGGCUAAUCCUGGUCGGACAUCAGGAGGUUAGUGCAAUGGCAUAAGCCAGCUUGACUGCGAGCGUGACGGCGCGAGCAGGUGCGAAAGCAGGUCAUAGUGAUCCGGUGGUUCUGAAUGGAAGGGCCAUCGCUCAACGGAUAAAAGGUACUCCGGGGAUAACAGGCUGAUACCGCCCAAGAGUUCAUAUCGACGGCGGUGUUUGGCACCUCGAUGUCGGCUCAUCACAUCCUGGGGCUGAAGUAGGUCCCAAGGGUAUGGCUGUUCGCCAUUUAAAGUGGUACGCGAGCUGGGUUUAGAACGUCGUGAGACAGUUCGGUCCCUAUCUGCCGUGGGCGCUGGAGAACUGAGGGGGGCUGCUCCUAGUACGAGAGGACCGGAGUGGACGCAUCACUGGUGUUCGGGUUGUCAUGCCAAUGGCACUGCCCGGUAGCUAAAUGCGGAAGAGAUAAGUGCUGAAAGCAUCUAAGCACGAAACUUGCCCCGAGAUGAGUUCUCCCUGAGACUUAGAGUCUCCUGAAGGAACGUUGAAGACGACGACGUUGAUAGGCCGGGUGUGUAAGCGCAGCGAUGCGUUGAGCUAACCGGUACUAAUGAACCGUGAGGCUUAACCUUACAACGCCGAAG